rnacentral:rRNA from 1 species
CAGCGCCACAAGUGGCAACCACGUUUAUUGGGCCUAAAGCGUCCGUAGCCGGUUUAGUAAAUCUCUUGUGAAAUCGACAGGCUCAACCUGUCGGCGUGCUUGAGACACUACUAAACUAGAGACCGGGAGGAGUCAGAGGUAUUCCAGGGGGAGCGGUAAAAUGUGAUAAUCCUUGGAGGACCAUCUAUGGCGAAGGCAUCUGACCAGAACGGAUCUGACGGUGAGGGACGAAGGCUAGGGGAGCGAACCGGAUUAGAUACCCGAGUAGUCC